rnacentral:rRNA from 1 species
GACGAAGGAUGCAAGCGUUAUCCGGAUUCAUUGGGUUUAAAGGGUGCGUAGGCGGCCUUGUAAGUCAGGGGUGAAAGACGGUAGCUCAACUAUCGCAGUGCCUUUGAUACUGCAGGGCUUGAAUGUACUUGAGGUAGGCGGAAUGUGACAAGUAGCGGUGAAAUGCAUAGAUAUGUCACAGAACACCAAUUGCGAAGGCAGCUUACUAAAGUAUGAUUGACGCUGAGGCACGAAAGCGUGGGGAUCAAACAGG